UUCAGGGUAGCCGAGUGGAAAAGGCACCUGCCCGGUAAGCAGAAGGGUGUGGGUUCGAUUCCCGCCCCUGGAC
rnacentral:tRNA from 1 species